rnacentral:tRNA from 1 species
GCUGUGGCUCAGUGGUAGAACAUCUGUUUGGGAUACAGAAGGUCCCAAUUUCAAACACCAGCAUAUCCA